CAGUAGUCACGAGUUUGAUCCUGGCUACAGAACGAACGCUGGCGGCAUGCCUAACACAUGCAAGUCGAACGAUAAGCCACCUUCGGGUGGUGGACAGUGGCGCACGGGUGAGUAACACGUGGGGACCUGCCUGAUAGUACGGAAAAACAGUUGGAAACGACUGCUAAUACCGUAUACGCCCUUCGGGGGAAAGAUUUAUCGCUAUCAGAUGGACCCGCGCUAGAUUAGAUAGUUGGUGAGGUAAUGGCUCACCAAGUCGACGAUCUAUAGCUGGUUUGAGAAGAUGAUCAGCCACAUUGGGACUGAGACACGGCCCAGACUCCUACGGGAGGCAGCAGUGGGGAAUAUUGUACAAUGGGCGCAAGCCUGAUACAGCAAUGCCGCGUGAGUGAAGACGGCCUUAGGGUUGUAAAACUCUUUCGCCAGGGAAGAUAAUGACGGUACCUGGUAAAGAAGUCCCGGCUAACUCCGUG
rnacentral:rRNA from 1 species